AGUGAACGCUGGCGGCGUGCCUAAUACAUGCAAGUCGAACGAAGUGGCGCACGGGUGAGUAAUAUAUAGUUAAUCUGCCCACCACAGAGGAACAACAGUUGGAAAAGACAGCUAAUACCUCAUAGUGUAGGAUGAGACUAUAUCGUAUCAGCUAGUUGGUAAGGUAAUGGCUUACCAAGGCUAUGACGAGUAACUGGUCUGAGAGGAUGACCAGUCACAUUGGAACGGAGACACGGUCCAACCACCGACGGGAGGCAGGAGGAAGUAAUAUUGCGCAAUGGGGGAAACCCUGACGUAGCAACGCCGCGUGGAGGAUGACCCUUUUCGGAGCGUAAACUCCUUUUAUCAGGAAAGCGGUACCUGAUGAAUAAGCACCGGCUAACUCCGUGCCAGCAGCCGCGGUAAUAC
rnacentral:rRNA from 1 species